rfam:Bacillus sp. CHD6a contig11, whole genome shotgun sequence.
UACGGAUUCGACAGGGAUAGUUCGAGCUUGGGUUGCGAGUCGGGGGGAUCGUCCUCGUCAUCAACGUCAACGCCAAUAAUAACUGGCAAAGAAAACAACAACUUCGCAUUAGCUGCCUAAUAACAGUCUGAUGCGGUUCCUCCCUCCAUCGCCCAUGUGGUAGGAUCAGGGACUCACUCUUAGUGGGCUACGCCGGAGAUCGCCGUCUGAGGUCAAAGGAAGAGAAUAACCAGACUAGCUGCCAGGAUGCCAGUCAAUAGGCGGAACGGUUAGCGAAAUACUAAUAUAUUGACUACACUCGUAGAUGCUUAAGUGGCGAUGUUUCUGGACGUGGGUUCGAUUA